AGAGUUUGAUCCUGGCUCAGAACGAACGCUGGCGGCGUGGAUUAGGCAUGCAAGUCGAACGGGACUUUUAGCUUUUUCGAAAGUCUAGUGGCGAAAGGGUGAGUAACGCGUGGGUAACCUGCCUUUAGGAGAAGAAUAACCCGUCGAAAGAUGGACUAAUACUUCGUAAGCUCAUAAGUUGCAAUACUUAUGAGGAAAGAUAGGGAUCUCUUCGGAGACCUGUCACCUUUAGAUGGGCCCGCGUCCUAUCAGCUUGUUGGUGAGGUAAUGGCUCACCAAGGCUAAGACGGGUAGCUGGUCUGAGAGGAUGGUCAGCCACACUGGGACUGAGACACUGCCCAGACCCCUACGGGAGGCUGCAGUCGAGAAUCUUCCGCAAUGGGGGCAACCCUGACGGAGCGACGCCGCGUGCAUGAUGAAGGCCUUCGGGUUGUAAAAUGCUGUCAGCAGGGAAGAAAAAGUUUCAGUUAAUAGCUGAAACCUUGACGGUACCUGCAGAGGAAGCCACGGCUAACUUCGUGCCAGCAGCCGCGGUAAUACGAAGGUGGCAAGCGUUGUUCGGAUUUAUUGGGCGUAAGGAGUUCGUAGGCGGCUUGAAAAGUCGGAUGUGAAAUUUCAGAGCUCAACUCUGAAACUGCAUUCGAAACUUUCAGGCUAGAGUAUGUGAGGGGUAAAGGGAAUUUCUAGUGUAGGGGUGAAAUCCGUAGAUAUUAGAAAGAACACCAGUCGCGAAGGCGCUUUACUGGCACAUUACUGACGCUGAGGAACGAAAGCUAGGGUAGCGAACGGGAUUAGAUACCCCGGUAGUCCUAGCCGUAAACGAUGUUCACUAGAUGUCGGGAGGGUUAAACCUUUCGGUGUCGCAGCUUACGCAUUAAGUGAACCGCCUGGGGAGUACGACCGCAAGGUUGAAACUCAAAGGAAUUGACGGGGACCCGCACAAACGGUGGAGCAUGUGGUUUAAUACGACGAUACGCGUGGCCCCCCCCCCCAGCCUUUUUUUUUGGGCCCCCCGCCUUAUGAAAGUAGGGCUUUCUCUUCGGAGACUGAUACACAGGUGUUGCAUGGCUGUCGUCAGCUCGUGUCGUGAGAUGUUGGGUUAAGUCCCGCAACGAGCGCAACCCCUAUCCUUUGUUGCUACCACUGUCUUCGGACAGUGCGCACUCUAAGGAGACCGCCGCUGAUAAAGCGGAGGAAGGUGGGGAUGACGUCAAGUCAGUACGGCCCUUACGCCUGGGGCUACACACGUGCUACAAUGGCCGGAACAGAAGGAAGCGAUACCGCGAGGUGGAGCCAAUCCCCAAACCCGGCCUCAGUUCGGAUUGCAGGCUGCAAUUCGCCUGCAUGAAGCUGGAAUCGUUAGUAAUCCCGUAUCAGCCACGACGGGGUGAAUACGUUCCCGGGUCUUGUACACACCGCCCGUCAAGUCACCGAAGUAGGUUGUACCCGAAGUAGGUUACCUAACCGCAAGGAGGGUGUCUGCGAAGGUAUGAUUUGUAACGGGGACUAAGUCGUAACAAGGUA
rnacentral:rRNA from 1 species